GAUGAAGAACGCAGCGAAAUGCGAAAAGUAAUGUGAAUUGCAGAAUUCAGUGAAUCAUCGAGUCUUUGAACGCACAUUGCGCCCCCUGGUAUUCCGGGGGGCAUGCCUGUCCGAGCGUCAUUGCUGCCCUCAAGCACGGCUUGUGUGUUGGGCCUCCGUCCUCCUCCCGGGGGACGGGCCCGAAAGGCAGCGGCGGCACCGCGUCCGGUCCUCGAGCGUAUGGGGCUUCGUCACCCGCUCUUGUAGGCCCGGCCGGCGCUUGCCGACACAUCAAUCUUUUUUCCAGGUUGACCUCGGAUCAGGUAGGGAUACCCGCUGAACUUAAGCAUAUCAAUAAGCGGAGGA
rnacentral:misc_RNA from 1 species